CCUACGGGAGGCAGCAGUGGGGAAUAUUGCACAAUGGGGGAAACCCUGAUGCAGCGACGCCGCGUGAGUGCAGAAGUAAUUCGUUAUGUAAAGCUCUAUCAGCAGGGAAGCAAAUGACGGUACCUGAGUAAGAAGCCCCGGCUAACUACGUGCCAGCAGCCGCGGUAAUCCGUAGGGGGCAAGCGUUACCCGGAUUUACUGGGUGUAAAGGGAGCGUAGACGGCAGUGCAAGUAUGGAGUGAAAGGCGGGGGCUCAACCCCCGGACUGCUCUGGAAACUGGACGGCUGGAGUGGAGGAGAGGUAAGUGGAAUUCCUAGUGUAGCGGUGAAAUGCGUAGAUAUUAGGAGGAACACCAGUGGCGAAGGCGGCUUACUGGACUGUAACUGACGUUGAGGCUCGAAAGCGUGGGGAGCAAACAGGAUUAGAUACCCGAGUAGUC
rnacentral:rRNA from 1 species